AUGGCUGGUCUUCCUCUGGAUGGAGACUUAUAUGAAGAAUUUAUCCCACCAGAACAUGCACUAGACCCCUCCCUUUGCCAAUUCCCUGACUUCUUACCGGACCUAUUAUCCGCACAUGAUCAACUUGCCAAGAACAACGGCGGCCACGUGACUUUCCAGGUCUGGUGUGACUAUUUUCACAACCGGCGUGACCACUCCAUUCCUUUCGCGUCUCUUCCUGAGGUCCGCUUGUAUGUCGCGGCGUACAUUGCUAUUUGGUUAUGCUACUUUGUUGUCAUUGGCGGGGGAGCCUACAUUCGCGCUGGAUUCCACACGAUUUUAGCCCUGAAAAAGGCGCACGAUUUCUUCGAGAAACACAAGAAUAUUGUGUGGUACCCCUCAAAUUUCUCUGACUUGGCUAGCACUCGUUGGCUGCAAAAGGCAUUCACCAUUUCCAUCCGUCGAGGGAUGCUACCAUGGAGAAGGUCCGAUUAUGAUGAUGACUUGUCCAUUGUUGAGCCGUACCAUCCCGACCGGGUGGUUCGACAAUUCAAAUUGGAUCAGCAAGUACCAUAUACUCCAUUGUGUAGUUUAUAUAUAAUAGAUGACAUUAGUGUUUCUUAUGCACACUGGUGGCAUUUAUUGCGCUCGAAUCCGAAACAGCCUCACUAUAUUCCCAACAAAGAUGUUGUGGCCAAUUCCUCAGUGGCAUGGACAAACUGGUGGACCGUUUUCAUCCAACCUUUCACCAGCGUUCUAGGCCAGCUUCGUCAAGGUAACAUGCGCGGGGGAGAUUCCUAUGAAGAAAGGCUUGCCAAAUAUGUGAAUAAUGGGAAGAAACAUAUUUUUCCUCGCAACAUUUUGGAAGGGGAUCUUGUCGUAGUGAAGAGGGUGUCUGCCGAACGGCAAGAGGAAUAUCUUGCAGCUGUUGAGGCGAGAGAAAUGCCGGCAGUGAAUCAUUGGAGGGACAUCUUAAGAGGUUACCACUUGGAUAACAAUGCCCCGCCACCUUUGUUGCAACAGAAGCGGAAAAAUAAUCCAAAUGAUGUUGCUGCAAGUUCCUCUUCCAAUCCCCGGCGACUUAUAAACGUCACAGUAUCAGGCACACGUUUAAAUGCAAGGAAGGAGGGUAUGGACAUUUUGGUUGAUAGGAGCUCAGAGGAACCUAGUCCAAAUGCAACAAUCUCUUCCGGUGGGGAGGAAAGACCUGCUGUAAAAAGGAAGAUUGAAAUUUCUCUUGGCGAAAGCCCAUGUAAUCUUGACGAGUUGGUUGAUUUUAUGCAUGAACUUGACGAUACAGGGACUGAUGAUAAUGUGAUAGGUUCUGAUCUAUCAUUUGAGGAUUUUGAUAUAUCAGAACCCUCUCUAAUCUUCCAACUCCCCCUACGUAUCUAUACUCAGGCAUGGCCUCGCAGGUAUCAUUUAUCUUGCCGCUCCUUCUUAUCGCCAGGUGGUGCGGAAGGAGCUUCUAAUCUCGUAAGUGGUGAGGGAAUAAUGACACAGAUUUCAGCGCCACCCAUGGAUAUUUCCGCUAUUACCAAGCCCAUUCUGGACGCUAUCGACUUGUUGUUGAAGAAUGCUUUUGAAGCUUUAGAUGCCCCUACAUUAACAGAUUCUCAGCACCAUGAGAUUUUUCAGGUAGUUCGGUCGAUGCUCCCUGCUGGUGACGUUGUUCCCCAAAUUGCCCCUGUCCAUGCGGCUUGGGAAAAUUUUGUUUCGAUAUCAGAUACAAUGCAAGAAACCCGCAGAACCAUUGAGGAUCAGUCAAAGCAAAAGUCUGAAUUUGUUACUGCAGCAGAGAGCAGGGCUGAAUCCAUUGAAGCGUCUCUGAAAACUUCAGCAGAAGAGAUGUCAUCCAUACUGGAGAAACAAGCUGAGAAGAAGGAACGUGUGGAGGCCCUCUCUGCUCAACUGGAAGAAGCUACUAGAGUCAAGCAACUAGAGUCAGACCGUUCCGCCACGCAAGCUGAAGCCAAGAAGUUGCACGAAGAUUUGCUCGAAGCUAAUGUGAAAGCUUCUGAGGAAUUGGAGGCUCUUAAAGGGAAGACGUCGAUGCUGGAGGGCGAAGCCAAGUCUAUUAUUAUAAGUCUGAAGGACUGGCGCUCCAUGUCCAACUGA
rnacentral:rRNA from 1 species